GCAAGUCGAACGGUGAAGGUGGGAGCUUGCUCCUGCUGGAUCAGUGGCGAACGGGUGAGUAACACGUGAGUAACCUGCCCUUGACUCUGGGAUAAGCGUUGGAAACGACGUCUAAUACCGGAUACGAGCUUCAGCCGCAUGGCUAGGAGUUGGAAAGAAUUUCGGUCAAGGAUGGACUCGCGGCCUAUCAGCUUGUUGGUGAGGUAAUGGCUCACCAAGGCGACGACGGGUAGCCGGCCUGAGAGGGUGACCGGCCACACUGGGACUGAGACACGGCCCAGACUCCUACGGGAGGCAGCAGUGGGGAAUAUUGCACAAUGGGCGCAAGCCUGAUGCAGCAACGCCGCGUGAGGGACGACGGCCUUCGGGUUGUAAACCUCUUUUAGCAGGGAAGAAGCGAAAGUGACGGUACCUGCAGAAAAAGCACCGGCUAACUACGUGCCAGCAGCCGCGGUAAUACGUAGGGUGCAAGCGUUGUCCGGAAUUAUUGGGCGUAAAGAGCUCGUAGGCGGUUUGUCGCGUCUGCUGUGAAAACGCGAGGCUCAACCUCGCGCCUGCAGUGGGUACGGGCAGACUAGAGUGCGGUAGGGGAGAUUGGAAUUCCUGGUGUAGCGGUGGAAUGCGCAGAUAUCAGGAGGAACACCGAUGGCGAAGGCAGAUCUCUGGGCCGUAACUGACGCUGAGGAGCGAAAGCGUGGGGAGCGAACAGGAUUAGAUACCCUGGUAGUCCACGCCGUAAACGUUGGGAACUAGAUGUAGGGACCAUUCCACGGUUUCUGUGUCGCAGCUAACGCAUUAAGUUCCCCGCCUGGGGAGUACGGUCGCAGA
rnacentral:rRNA from 1 species